rnacentral:rRNA from 1 species
AUUAAUUAAUUUAUUAUUAAAAUUUUAUUUUUUAAGUUUUAAUUAAAAUAAUAUUAUAUUUAUUAAAUUUAUGAAAAAUUUUAUUUUAUUAUAGAGUAUUAGUAUUGAAAAAUAAAAUUUUUUAAUGGGAAAAAGAAAAUUUAUAUUGUACCUUGUGUAUCAGGGUUUAUUAAAAAUUAUUUAAUUAUUUAAGUUUCUCGAAUUUAAAAGAUUUAAUUAUUUAUUAAUUUUAUUGUAGAAUAAAUAUUUAUAAUAAAUAAUUGGUAAUGAAAUGUUAUUCGUUUUUAAAUAUAUCUAGUUUUUUAAGAAAAAAAUUUAAUUUUUUUAACAAUUUUAAAUUUUAUAAUUUUUUAUUAAGUUUAAAUUGUUAGUUAAUAUUUAAAGGGAUAAGCUUUUAAAUAGAUUUUCAUAAUUAUAUUUUAAAAUUGAAAUUUGUUAGGAUUAAUAAUUUUUUUAUAAAGUUUUUAAUAAUUUAAUUUAAUUAGUUUAAGAUUUAUAUAUAAUUUGGAUUUUUUUAUUAAAAUCUAAUUUUUAAUUUUUUAUAAUUAGAAAUAAUGAUAAAAUUAGUAUAAUUUAAUGUAAAUUAUUUUUUAUUUAAAAAAUUAAUUAUAAGAAUUCGGCAAAUUAUUUUUCAAAUGUUUAUUAAAAACAUUUCUUUUUGAAAAUAAUUUAAAGUAGGGCCUGCCCACUGAUUAAUUGAAGGGCCGCAGUAUUUUGACUGUGCAAAGGUAGCAUAAUCAUUAGUUUUUUAAUUGAAAGCUUGUAUGAAUGGUUUAAUGAAAAAAUAACUUUUUUUAAUUUAAUAAUAGAAUUUUAUUUUUAAGUUAAAAAGCUUAAAUUUAUUUAUAAGACGAGAAGACCCUAUAGAGUUUUAUUUUUAUAUUUUUAUUAAUUUUUAGUAUUUAAUAAUUUUAUUAAUAUAAAAAUUUGAUUGGGGUGAUUAAAAAAUUAAAUUAACUUUUAUAUAUUUUUACAUUUAUUUAUGAAUUAAUGAUCCAAUUAAUUUGAUUAAAAGAUUAAAUUACCUUAGGGAUAACAGCGUAAUUUUUUUUUAGAGUUCAUAUUAAAAAAAGAGUUUGCGACCUCGAUGUUGGAUUAAAAUUUAUUAUUGGUGUAGAAGCUAAAUAAUUAGGUCUGUUCGACCUUUAAAAUUUUACAUGAUCUGAGUUUAGACCGGUGUAAGCCAGGUCGGUUUCUAUCUAUUAAUAAUUAUUAUAUUUUAGUACGAAAGGACCAAAUAUAAAUUUAAUAAAUUUAAUUUUGAAUAAAAUU